rfam:Parcubacteria bacterium GW2011_GWA1_47_11 TX77_C0008, whole genome shotgun sequence.
GGGCUCAUAGUAAAGUGGCAUUACGCGUCGUUCGCAAUGACGAGUCCCGGGUCCGAUUCCCGGUGAGUCCA